UCACCGGGUGAAAACUUGCAAG
rnacentral:miRNA from 1 species